rnacentral:lncRNA from 1 species
CUUUUUUAAAAGGAUAGUUGCCUGUCAACUGAGUAGUAAUGAGUACACCCAGAGCCAGGGACCAGGCAUCCUCAGAGAAACACAUAUUCCAGGGCUGAGUAAUAAGUGGGUACAGGAUGAGCCUGGGACAUCUUAAAUGUCAGAAAUGACAAAAGGACUGCAAAAAAAAAACGUGAAAACACAGGAAGGAACUGAAGGGGCUCCCACUGUCCAGAUCUGGGAGGAUUUGAGGAAGCAUGAGCACUGGACUGGAAAAAUAUCCUUUGGCAAUCAUCAUGGUAAAGGCUGAAGCAGGGGCUGGGAUGAGGCUCAGCAGUCGAGUGAGUGCUUGAUUACCAUGCAUGAAACUAAGAAUCCCAAGCAAGGCACACACACACAAAAGAAAUAGAUUGCCAGCACUGUUUGCCAAACAUGGGGAGAAGUCUGGUGAGGAGCAGGAUAUUUAUAUUUAACCACGUCUCCAGAGACUGUCUAUUAGUUGGAAGGGGGGAAAUAUAAACUAUAACAUGGAGAAGGUGAACAGUGCCUUGACCCAGUAUACCAGGCAUUACCUUAUUGUGUCUUAGCUCACUUACCUUUUGUUGUCACACAGACGCUGAGACUUUGUAAUCUACACUUCUCCUUUGCCACCUGGUCAACAGGAAGCACUGAAGGGAUGGCGAAGCUGGAGGGAGAUGGAAGACUUUUUCUUUGUUAUCUCUGGUUUGGCAUGAGUCCCAGCAGCAUUCUCCAUAGUGAUGGUUCUCUGCUCCCAUGGUUCAGUGGUGGCACCUCCAGUGAGGAGGGCAGUGUGUCUGUGGCAGCUGCUCCUCAGAGAUCUCAGCCUUGGGAGAACUUCUGAGUUUCUAGUUUCCCUCAUCAUCUUCCUUUCCCUCAGUUCUAGGGGUGGUUAUAAUAGCCUAGAUAUUUUCUGCUAGGCUGUUUUCAAGCUCUUUUUGAAAUUCCUUUUAGUAAAUCACCUUUUACAUAAACAUUUAUAUUAAAAAUUCCUGUUCAUAUUUAGACCAGGUGAUCAAAAUUAACAUCACUGAGGAGGAAGGGGAGUGAGGCAGACAGACACUGGGGCCUCCCAAGAGGAAGACACAGGCAGUGUUUCAGCCACCUGGAACACAAAACCUAAUCUAACUGUUCAAAAGAAGGGAGUGUAUUCUUCCAGAAUGUCAUUGUCACAAGAGAAAAACCUAUGGAAAUGCUUCAGAUUCAAGGAAAACAAAAAGACAUAUAACUAAACACAGUAUCCAAUCCUAGACUAGGUUCAGAACUGCAGGGGGGGAAAUUCUCUCAGGGACAUCAUGAGGUCAACUAAAUAUGAAUGGGAGAUUAUUUAUCAGUGUUAAAUGUCCUGAAUUUAGUAACUGUUUUGUGAUUUUCAGAGAUUAUCUUUAUUCUUAGGAAAUUCCCACUGAACUACCAGGGUAAUAGGCCACCAUCUAUGCAAAGAGAGAGAGAGCAAGCACAUUUAAGAACACAAAUGACAAAUGGGACAAAAUGUCUCAAGUAUAUUUGGGUAAAGGGUAUUUAGGCCUUAUAUAAACAAUCCUUACUCUUGCAACUUUUCCUUGAGUUCCAAAUAAAACUUAAGGAAAUAGAAUACAACAGUGGUUCUUAAUCACAGCUGCAACCUGGAAUGACCAGUUGGUCAGCAGCUUGGAACCCAAGUCCUAAUUUUCAAGUUUCCCAGGUUCCCACCUUAUAGUUGCCUGCAGUUCUCAUCUGUGUCUGUAGGUCAACAGAAGGAAAAACACAGAUAUACAGAACAGGUGAGAACACUGGCACUACAGGAGACUCUAUUCUUUAAACUUCAGACAUGAGUAGUUCUUUUGCCCUCUGAAGAGUAAGCACCAUGGAACAGGGUCUCAAGGUCUUGAUGGCAGAAUACUCUCCAGACAUCAAGCAGGCAGAUGAAUCUGUAAGGCACUGGCCAACGUGGACAGAUUUCCCCUCUAGUGGUUCCCAAACAAGGUAAAAAGGCUUACUUCCAGGACAACAAUGCCAGGAAUUAAACACCGUUUAAAGCUGGCAGGAGCUACAAUGGUGUAACUGGCCCCAGAAGCACCCACCCCCACUCCCAUCUUUUUGGCUUUACUACCAAUGUGGCUGAUCUGGGUCUAAUUGGCAGAGCACACAGGAGGAAGCUGCUUUCUCAGCAGGUAAGCAGCAGGAAGUGAGCAAAGGGAGAAUAGGUGGGGCUACCUGGCUUUGUCCCAAAGCAAUUUUCAUAGAGUUCAGUUCUGUAGUACAAAAUGAGGGCAUCCAAAGUUACUUGGGACUCAUGCUAGAUUCCUCUCUUCCUUUCCCUUCUCUCUGUCCCACAUCCAAUCAAUGCAUAUUUUGCCAUUUCUUCCCCCCCCCCCUCUACUGCCUCAGUCCAUCCCCCACCACCUUCACCCACAGUACCUUACUUCACACUCUUAAACUAUCUUCUGAACUAUUACAUCUACCUAACCAUAGCCUGAUCACAUUCCCUUCAAUCUACCCUUUAAACUGCAGCCAUGGGGACCAUCUAGG